rnacentral:rRNA from 1 species
AGUGAACGCUGGCGGUAGGCCUAACACAUGCAAGUCGAACGGCAGCACAGUAAGAGCUUGCUCUUACGGGUGGCGAGUGGCGGACGGGUGAGGAAUACAUCGGAAUCUACUUUUUCGUGGGGGAUAACGUAGGGAAACUUACGCUAAUACCGCAUACGACCUACGGGUGAAAGCAGCGGAUCUUCGGACCUUGCGCGAUUGAAUGAGCCGAUGUCGGAUUAGCUAGUUGGCGGGGUAAAGGCCCACCAAGGCGACGAUCCGUAGCUGGUCUGAGAGGAUGAUCAGCCACACUGGAACUGAGACACGGUCCAGACUCCUACGGGAGGCAGCAGUGGGGAAUAUUGGACAAUGGGCGCAAGCCUGAUCCAGCCAUGCCGCGUGGGUGAAGAAGGCCUUCGGGUUGUAAAGCCCUUUUAUUGGGGAAGAAAAGCAGCAGGUUAAUCCCCCGCUGUUCUGACGGUACCCAAAGAAUAAGCACCGGCUAACUUCGUG